rnacentral:rRNA from 1 species
GAUGAACGCUGGCGGCGUGCUUAACACAUGCAAGUCGAACGGAAAGGCUCCUGCGUGCCGGGGUACUCGAGUGGCGAACGGGUGAGUAACACGUGGGUGAUCUGCCCUGCACUUCGGGAUAAGCCUGGGAAACUGGGUCUAAUACCGGAUAGGACGAUGGUUUGGAUGCCAUUGUGGAAAGUUUUUCGGUGUGGGAUGAGCUCGCGGCCUAUCAGCUUGUUGGUGGGGUAAUGGCCUACCAAGGCGUCGACGGGUAGCCGGCCUGAGAGGGUGUACGGCCACAUUGGGACUGAGAUACGGCCCAGACUCCUACGGGAGGCAGCAGUGGGGAAUAUUGCACAAUGGGCGCAAGCCUGAUGCAGCGACGCCGCGUGGGGGAUGACGGCCUUCGGGUUGUAAACUCCUUUCGCUAGGGACGAAGCGCAAGUGACGGUACCUGGAGAAGAAGCACCGGCUAACUACGUG